GCGGCGGGCGCAGCAGAGCGGCGGGCGGCGGCGGCGUCGUCGAGCGACAAUACAAGCGCCUCGGACCGAGUCCCCGAACCUGCCCUAGCCAAAAUGGCGGCCGAGAAAGAGCGGAAGUGACGUUAAAGAGGCUUUUGUAUACUGGAGAUAUAACCAAAAAAGGUCUAAGGUGACUUUACGCAGAGAUUGAAGGAUGAGCAGCAGAUGGUCAUCAAGGAGCAUGGAAACAGCAUUUCAGGCAAAGGAAAAUGGAACUCUGUGAACUCAGAAGCAUGCUAUGGCAUGGAAAGCAAAAAGGAAGGAGCACAAGGCAGAGGCCACCUCUCCAGGAAAGGCACCAACUAUCCAACUGCUCCAUCCACAGACUGCAGGUAACAAAUCACGGAAAGCAAAACCAUGGACAAGGAGACUAUGAUACUUAUAAUUUUCAGAAUCUUCAAAGGUUUAUAUAAAAUAUUAGAGUAUUAUG
rnacentral:lncRNA from 1 species